rnacentral:lncRNA from 1 species
GCUGGCAUGUCAGUUAACUGCUAGUAGUCUGUUGUUAUUUAUGUAUUAUUGUCAUUUUAUUUAUUUUCUUUUGUUACAUCUUCUGACAUCGGACUCGGACUUCUCUUGAACUGAAUUUUAAUGUGCGUAUUGUUAUGUGUUUACUUUUCUACAUUGGCUAGAGGUAUAGGGGGAGGGUUAAGAUCUCAUAAACAUGUUUAACCCCACCGCAAUUUUGCGCCUGUCCCAAGUCAGGAGCC